AUUGAACGCUGGCGGCAUGCCUUACACAUGCAAGUCGAACGGCAGCACGGGUGCUUGCACCUGGUGGCGAGUGGCGAACGGGUGAGUAAUACAUCGGAACAUGUCCUGUAGUGGGGGAUAGCCCGGCGAAAGCCGGAUUAAUACCGCAUACGAUCUACGGAUGAAAGCGGGGGACCUUCGGGCCUCGCGCUAUCGGGUUGGCCGAUGGCUGAUUAGCUAGUUGGUGGGGUAAAGGCCUACCAAGGCGACGAUCAGUAGCUGGUCUGAGAGGACGACCAGCCACACUGGGACUGAGACACGGCCCAGACUCCUACGGGAGGCAGCAGUGGGGAAUUUUGGACAAUGGGCGAAAGCCUGAUCCAGCAAUGCCGCGUGUGUGAAGAAGGCCUUCGGGUUGUAAAGCACUUUUGUCCGGAAAGAAAUCCUUGGCCAAAUACGGUCGGGGGAUGACGGUACCGGAAGAAUAAGCACCGGCUAACUACGUG
rnacentral:rRNA from 1 species